rnacentral:rRNA from 1 species
GACGAGAAAGUGGAAGCAUCCAUGAGUAAAGUGGCGUACGGGUGAGUAACACGUGGGUAAUCUACCUUUUAGUGAGGAAUAACUUUGGGAAACCGAAGCUAAUACCGCAUAAGCCUGAGAAGGGAAAGCAGCAAUGCGCUGAAAGAGGAGCCCGCGGCCGAUUAGCUAGUUGGUGAGGUAACGGCCCACCAAGGCUGAGAUCGGUAGCCGGCCUAAGAGGGCACACGGCCACACUGGCACUGAAACACGGGCCAGACUCCUACGGGAGGCAGCAGUGGGGAAUCUUGCACAAUGGGGGAAACCCUGAUGCAGCGACGCCGCGUGAGCGAUGAAGCCCUUCGGGGUGUAAAGCUCUUUCGGCAGGGAAGAUUAUGACGGUACCUGCAGAAGCAGCUGCGGCUAACUACGUGCCAGCAGCCGCGGUAAUACGUAGGCAGCGAGCGUUGUUCGGAGUUACUGGGCGUAAAGGGUGUGUAGGCGGCUCUCUAAGUUUGGUGUGAAAUCUCCCGGCUCAACCGGGAGGGUGCGCCGAAUACUGAAGGGCUAGAGUGUGGGAGAGGAAAGUGGAAUUCCUGGUGUAGCGGUGAAAUGCGUAGAUAUCAGGAGGAACACCGGUGGGUGUAGACGGCUUUCUGGACCAUAACUGACGCUGAGACACGAAAGCGUGGGUAGCAAACAGGAUUAGAUACCCUGGUAGUCCACGCCCUAAACGAUGCAUAUUUUGGUGUGGGUCAUUCAGUUGAUCCGUG